UACGGGGGGGGCAAGCGUUGUUCGGAAUUACUGGGCGUAAAGGGCUCGUAGGCGGCCAACUAAGUCGGAUGUGAAAUCCCCAGGCUUAACCUGGGAACUGCAUCCGAUACUGGAUGGCUUGAAUCCGGGAGAGGGAUGCAGAAUUCCAGGUGUAGCGGUGAAAUGCGUAGAUAUCUGGAGGAAUACCGGUGGCGAAGGCGGCAUCCUGGACCAAUACUGACGCUCAUGUGCGAAAGCGUGGGGAGCAAACAGG
rnacentral:rRNA from 1 species